CGGCGCGGGAGGAAGGGCGCGGAGCCGGCUGGGGUUGUCAGGGCAGACUCCCCGGAGGCAGCGGCGGGCCGGACGGUUCGCGGGAAUAAUUCAAGAUACCUUUACUGGAAAUCAUUUUGCUGAAAUUAUUGAAACAGUGAUUCUUGAAUUUGAAGACAAGGAAUCUCUCUCCCCUUCUUGACUACAGGAGUGUGAACCUUUCUUCACGGCCUCUCUGGACACACUGUCUUGCAUCCUCCAGGAAAGAUGCGGCAGCUCAAAGGGAAGCCCAAGAAGGAGACAUCCAAGGACAAGAAGGAGCGGAAGCAGGCCAUGCAGGAAGCCCGACAACAGAUCACCACAGUGGUGCUGCCCACACUGGCUGUGGUGGUGCUUCUGAUAGUGGUGUUUGUGUAUGUGGCCACACGCCCUACCAUCACCGAGUGAGCACCUGGCUGCCAAGGACUCCUUGGGCAGGGAGGGGGAAGCAAAUGAAAAAUGGCUUUCAUGUGCAGAGAUGUUCCUGCUGCUGAGCUCUAAGCAGGAACACCCUGCUUCUCUGGUCUUUGACUUGAUUAAAGUUUCUCCACUUUUCUUGGGAGGGAAUAGGGAACGUUUUAUCAGUAAACGUGCCAUACACCUUAUGGUCCACUUCAUGUGCCUUUCAGACUUCAAAGCAGUGUGUGUGUGUGUGUGUGUGUGUGUGUGUGUGUGUGUGUGUUUCUCUCAUAAAUUGAUAUGUAGCUCCACCUGGUGAGAGGAGGACUUUGGGUCAUGAAGCAGCUGGAAUCAGUGCUCACCUCAUCCCCAUUGUUUGGAACAUGCCACUUCCUACACGUGUUCACAAUUUCCAAAGGGACUGUAUGUCUUCUCUGUGCUUAAUGUGAUUUGAAAUAUGUUGACUCAAAGUGAAAUAUUUAUUUUUUGAAUAAAGGAGAUAAUUAGCCUUAAA